GCCUGUAGGAGGUGGAGCUUGAGCUGACCAUUGGGAAGAUACCAAGAUGUUCACUGUCUUCGCAGGAAUGCAGGCGAUUAGCCACGGAGCCCUUCUCUGUCUAGCACCGGGCAGCAGUCGCCCAGCUACGCAGAGACCGUUUGAAUGGAACCACAGAAUAAUCUUCGGAAGAAAAAGCAAGCUCACACGAGUAGCAGCGGCCCAUUGUGCGGAGUUAAACAUGCUGGACGGAGUCUGAUUGGUGGCAGGGAGGUGUGGUGUUAAUGACAAUGGGGAGGGGGCGUGGCAGUGGUGGAGAGAUUGGUAUCUGUCUCCCCAAGCCUCGGUAAUUAGUAUUCCCUGUUACAUCCUAAUUAAAGACCCCGGGUGCUUUAAAAACUUUAAGUAUUUUUUGUUGCUGUUGUUGGCAGCAGAAGACCUUUAAACCCUUUAAACAUAAAAAAUAAAGAAAUAAAUACAGGAAACCCCUUUAAACCUAAACAUUAUGGGGAAUUCCAAUAUAUAAAAUGGACAAUAAUACCUGAAAUUUAUGUAGCAUUUUUUUGUGUACCAAGUUUUGUAUAUUGAUUUAUUUAGUCUUCAUAAUACCCUGUAAAAAUAUUACUGCCAUCCCUAUUUACAGGUGAGGAAACUGAGGCGCAGGAAUUGUAGGUAACUUGCAGGAGAUCCCGGCUUGCUAAUUAGCGCAGCUCUGAGUUGAACUUGGACAGUCUGCUUCCUGCUUAGGUUGGUGGGGAGGACUCUCUGGGCUCUGGCUUUUCUCCCUCUCUCCUUCUGCUUUACAGAAUUCCUUGGGCUCUAUGAAACUGCUCACAACCCCAGAAGCUGUUCACACAAGAAACUGUAAAGAGAAGACAACUCUCUUCUUUCAGGGAUGGGGAACUUGAAACCCAGAGAGGUAAGAUCUCACAAUCAGCAAACAAGACGGUCACUCACAGCCUCUUCUUCAUAUUAGAGAUUCACCAGAUUUUCUCUUUAUUGGCACACUUUGUGUAUUUUCCAUUGAGAAAAAUGCCUUGAGGGCGGGUGAGACUAUACUUUAAGUGGAAGAAGAAACUCGAUGAGCAUCAAAAUGAUCGAAGAGAAGCUUGGGGAAAAAAUUCUGAUUAAUUAAAUUGUGUCUCCCUUUCUUCUUCCUUACAUGAAGCUCAGAAUAAGAGGAGGGAAAAUGAGAUGCAAGUCACAAAUUGUCAACAUUCAUUUACUCAAUAAAUAAUGACUGAGAGCCUAGUAUGUGUCGUGGACUGAUCACAAUCAGACACAUACCACGUGUUACCUACUAGAUGGGGGGACACAGUGGAGAAAAAGUCAAGUUCCUGCCCCCUUGGAACUCACGUUCUAGGACUGGGGGGAAGACCAAUUAAUUUAGCAUGGAGAUGGUAUUUAGAGGGCCUGGAGCCAAUCUGUACCCUGGCCAGCUGUCUCAUGGCUGUGG
rnacentral:lncRNA from 1 species